rnacentral:rRNA from 1 species
CACAGGGAGGUAGUGACAGAAAAUAACAAUGCGGGGCUCUCUGAGCUUCGCAGUUGGAAUGAGUACAAUUUAAACGUCUUAACGAGUAACAAUUGGAGGGCAAGUCUGGUGCCAGCAGCCGCGGUAAUUCCAGCUCCAAUAGCGUAUAUUCAUGUUGUUGCAGUUAAAAAGCUCGUAGUUGAAUGUAAGGCGCGGCGGCGCGGUCCGCUUCGGCGCGACUGCGCCGCUAUAGCGCUAGAGUGCGGCGCGCAAGCCCGCGGGUUACUGUGAGGAAAUUAGGGUGUUCAUAGCAGGCGUGUGCUUGAAUACUGCAGCAUGGAAUAACGAGCAAGACUCUGGGUCUGCUUGUUGGUUUGGGGCCGAGUAAUGGUUAAUAGGAGCAGUUGGGGGCAUUAGUAUUCAGUUGUCAGAGGUGAAAUUCUUGGAUUAACUGAAGACUAACUAGUGCGAAAGCAUUUGCCAAGGAUGUUUCCAUUAAUCAAGAACGAAAGUUAGGGGAUCGAAGACGAUUAGAUACCGUCGUAGUCUUAACUGUAAACUAUGCCGACUAGGGAUCGGCGGCUGUCCGCGUGACACCGCCGGCACCUUGUGAGAAAUCAAAGUUUUUGGGUUCUGGGGAGAGUAUGGCCGCAAGACUGAAAUUUAAAGGAAUUGACGGAAGGGCACACCAAGAGUGGAUUCUGCGGCUUAAUUUGACUCAACACGGGAAAACUCACCAGGUCCGGACAUAAGAAGGAUUGACAGAUUGAAAGCUCUUUCUUGAUUUUAUGGGAGGUGGUGCAUGGCCGUUCGUAGUUGGUGGAGUGAUUUGUCUGGUUAAUUCCGAUGACGAACGAGACCUAAACCUGCUAAAUAGGGGCGGCACGCGAGUGCCGCGCGCCUUCUUAGAGGGACUGAAGGCGUUUAGCCUUUGGAAGUUUUAGGCAAUAACAGGUCUGUGAUGCCCUUAGAUGUUCUGGGCUGCACGCGUAAUACAAUGGCCCAGGCAGCGAGUAUACAACCUACGCCGGAAGGCGCGGGUAAUCUUGUGAAUCUGGGCCGUGCUGGGGAUAAACCAUUGCAAUUAUUGGUUUUCAACGAGGAAUUCUUAGUAAGCGCAAGUCAUCAACUUGCGUUGACUACGUCCCUGCCCUUUGUACACACCGCCCGUCGUUACUACCGAUU